GACGAACCGUGCGAACGUUAUUCGGAAUCACUGGGCUUAAAGCGCGUGUAGGCGGGAGGGCACGUCCGUUGCUGAAAUCCCCCGGCUCAACCGGGGAACGGGCGCGGAUACGACUCUCCUUGAGGGGCGUAGGGGGACCUGGAACUUCCGGUGGAGCGGUGAAAUGCGUUGAGAUCGGAAGGAACGCCCGUGGCGAAAGCGAGGUCCUGGACGCCUACUGACGCUGAGACGCGAAAGCCGGGGGAGC
rnacentral:rRNA from 1 species